rnacentral:ncRNA from 1 species
AAUCAUGAGUUCCCGCUGUUACAGCCCUGGCUUGCGGGACGGCAACCCUCUUCACGCAGUAGUGGGGUGCUCCAGGUGAGGAUUCGGCCUACCGGAUGCCCCGGCAGGCAAGUACCGCGU